AGUCGUGGUUAUGGAAAAUGUUUGCUAAACAAACCGACUGAUAUUCAAAAAUUGCCAGCUAAAAGACCAGGAGAGAUGUACAAUAUUACCAAACAAUGUGAACUUAUCUUUGGACCAGGUUCUGUUGUCUGUCCCUAUCUGAAAUAUUGUGAUAAGCUAUGGUGUACUGUUGGAAGAAGCACUGAUCAUUGUCGAACUCAACAUAUGGCCUGGGCUGAUGGUUCACCUUGCAACCCCAACUCUUGGUGUGAUAA